AUGGACACGAAGGGAUCCGGCGCGCAUAGAGAAGGAGAGGAGACCGGGAACUCCAACGCCGGCGCCAUGACGGUGGCGAGGGAGUACCGGCGGGGGAACUGGACGCUGCCGGAGACAAUGCUGCUGAUCGAGGCCAAGAAGCGGGUGCACGAGGAGCGGCACCCGGCGGACCUGGGCCUGGCGCGCUGGCGGUGGGUGGAGGACUACUGCUGGCGCGCCGGGUGCCGGCGCAGCCAGAACCAGUGCAACGACCGGUGGGACAACCUGAUGCGGGACUACAAGAAGGUGCGCGCGUACGAGCACGCCGGCGCCGGAGGGGAGGCGCCGAGGCCGAGCUACUGGGAGAUGGCGAGGGCGGAGAGGAAGGCGAGGUACCUCCCCUCCAACCUCCUGCGCGAGAUUUACGAGGCCAUGGGCGAGAUCGUCGAGCGGCGGAUGGGCUUCUCCGGCCCCGGCGGCCCGUUCUUGGGCGCACCGCCGCCACCGCCGAUGGGCAGCACCGGCCUCGUCGGCGUCCCUAUGCAGGCCUCGCCGCUCGCUCAAGUCCAGCCCCGACCUCUAGAAGACCAAGAAGAAACGCGUGGCAGCUCGGAGUCGUCGCCGGAGAGGAAGAGGCUGCGGCUAUCGCUGGACGGCCAGCCGGGGAGCAGCACGCCAGCGUCGGCCGCAGGGCACAACGAUCGGCACCAAGAGCCCCAGGGCGACGACAGGGAGAUCAGCUCGGACGACGCCGAGGAGCACGAGGAGCUGAGCGGGGCGAUCGGGCAGUGCGCGGCGAUCCUGUCGGGCGCGCUGGAGAGCCGGGAGGCCGCGGAGGAGCGGCGGCACAGGGAGGUGAUGGCGGUGGAGGAGCGGCGCAGCGUGGCCCGGCAGGCGCGGCGCGAGGCCGGCGAGCAGUGCAUGGCCGGGCUGGCGGCCGCCGUGGGCCAGCUCGCCGGCUCCAUGCUCGCGCUGGCCGCCAAGCACGAGGAGGGCCCCGCCGCGCCCAAGUGA
rnacentral:rRNA from 1 species